rnacentral:lncRNA from 1 species
UCCAGUACUCUGUCUUCUAGGUCAUUAAUUUGUUCCUCUGCUUCUUCCAGCCUGCUGUUCAUUCUGUCAAGCAUGCUUCUCAUUUAGUUUGAGUUGACGUUGUUCUUCAUCUGUGUGUUAAGGGUCUCAUUCGUGUUUUCCACUCUUCUGAAGUCCAGCAAGUAUCCUGAUUGCUUUCUAUUUUAUUGCUUAUCCUAUUGCUUUUCUCUAUCAAGCAUGUUACUUAUAUCUGCUGCUUAAGUUAGACCUCUGGCUGUGGUCUUGUCCUAUUCUUUCAUUUGAAAUAAGUUUCUCUCUCCUUACUUUGUCUCUCUGUUUCUCUGUUAGGAAGCACACCUCUGUCUUCUUGCCCUUGAAAGUAGUGACUUUAUUAAAAAGAGGUCCUGGAGUACCCUGUAGUGCAAUAUUCCCUGUUCAGAAUCUGGCCCUUCAGAAGAGUAUCCUAUGUGUGUUGCUUAUAUCCUGUCGCAUCUGAGUCACUUUUUCCUUUCACCGUGGUAGUGUGCACUGACUCUCUGCCAAUUGUGGGCUAUGCUUGUUCUCUGUGGUGUUACUGGCCCCAGGAAGGCUCUGAGCUUGGUUAUUUUCCAUUAGUCUUCCAGGUCAUUAAUUUACUUCUCUGUGUCACUGAGACUACUAUUUAUUCCAUAAAGUGUGUUUUUAAUUUAUAGCAUUAUUGAUCACUAUUCGGUUCCUUUGUAUCUCUGUGUUAAAUGUCUCAACAAUUUCCUCUAUUCUCUUCUCUAGUGAGUAUCUUUAUCAUAAUUAAGUCCUCUAUCAGGCAUAUUACUGAUUUCCAUUUAGCUUACUUCUCUUGCUGUGGUUGGUCCUCUUCUUUCAUUUAAGACAUAUUUCUGUUUUCUCAUUUUAUCUAACUCUGUUUCUGUGUUUUGAAAAAUAAGCUUCUUUUGAUGUUAAUAAUAGUCUUAUGAAGAUGUCAUCCUUUAUUGCUCUACAGAGCAGUGUUCCCUAUGUUUGUUAUGCGUGCUCUGCUAUUGAGUAUUGGCCUCUUUUUCCUUCAGUCCAGUUGUCUGCAGAUGCUUUCCUUGCCUAUUGUGGGCAGUGUUUGAUCCCCAGUGGGAGUGGGGAGCAUUUUAACAAGGUGUGCAGUGGUCUGCCUGUGAAAUGAUAGCUGUCCCUGCUGGAACUGAGGUCCUGCCUGCAAAACACACAGGUUGGGACAUGUGGCAUUGGCAGGGUUUGUGCUGGUCUUCUAGUAAAUGGGGUCUACAGCACCAGGAGUAAGGUGAGCAGAACUAGAAAGGGCAGAUCUGGUGAAGUGUUGUAGGAGUGGCAGGCAAGUUAGGUAAUGAGUAUUGGUGCUAUAUUGUUUCCCUCAGGUAGCUGUUGUUUAUGCUGAGGUUGGAGAAGGGAAAUGGUGCCUGGCAGCUCCUUUGUUCACUCAUGAUUCCUGUCUGUUCAGGUCAUGCUCUGGGAUGAGCAAAUCACUCUCACUUCCCUCUGCUCCUGGUUUUCCAAACUGCUGGUUCUGAUAUUCCUGUAUUGGCUGUUUGUCAUGUGCUGUCUCUUUAAGGAUGGGGAUCCUGCUUCCUAACAUCCUCUCUGCUCUCCCAGAGCCAAGCCAUCUAUUCUUUGGAAUUCCAGUCUUUAGCUCCUGCUGGUUACAGGAAUUCUUCAAGUUUUGGUCCCUCUUGCUUUCAAAGGUAAAUGUUAUGCAUACCCAUCCUGUAUGUGGGUUUGUGGGGUGAAAGUCUGUUUUUCAUCCUUCUCAGUGCUAUUAACCCCCUCCCUACCAUGGAUGGCCAUGUCCAUUUUGCUCCUAAACCACAUCUUCACCUUGCCUGCCUUCUUUGAUGUGGUCUCUUUUCUACCUUAAAAAAAAUUUUUUUUUAAAGAUUUUAUUUAUUCAUGAGAAACACAGAGAGGGAAGCAGAGACAUAAGCAGAGGGAGAAGCAGGCUCCCUGUGGGGAGCCUGGUGUGGGAUUCAAUCCCAGAAUCCUGGGAUCACAACCUGAGCCAAAGGCAGACGGUCAACCACUGAGCCACCCAGGUGCCUCUAAGAAAAAAAAAUUUUUAACAUAGGCUCCAUGCCCAAUGUGGGGCUUGAAUUCAUGACCCUGAGAUCAAGUGUUGCAUGCUCUACUACGCCAGCUAGACACCUCUCUUUUCUACCUCCACCUAGUUGUGGAGUUUAUUCUGCUAGUUUUUGGACUGUCCUGAGUUAUUUCCACUGAUGUGUUAUCUAGUUGUAUCUGUGGGAUAAGGUGCAAUUAAGGCCUCCUGCUCUGCAUCUUCACAGCCCCAUAAGUUCUUAUUUCUUGUAUAAUAAACUAUUAGUUCCUUUUAGUAGAUUCUGGUAAUAUGUUACUAGGUCAAAGGAUACAUGUAUCGUACAUUUUAAAGUGCUGGUUGCCAGAUUACUAUUCAAAAUAUUUAUAAAGGAUUGACAGCUCCACCAGCAAUACAAAUUCUUGUAACAGUUGAUAUUGAGUCAUUUUACUUUAUGACACAUUUUAACUUUUAUUGUAAGGGGUUAUAUUACAUCUCUUGCUAGAGGAAAACUUUUUCCCAUGCUGUGAGAAUUGAAGGUAGUAUCAUGUGUUUGUAAUAAGUAGUGUUACAACUUGCCUGCCAUCUGUCCAACUUGCUUGCCAUCUGAAAAUUUAAGUUCCCCAAGUUGUGUAAUAAGUUUAAAAAGUGUUAUUUUUUAAAACAGAAUCCAAUUUUAGGAUGAGACCUAUUUAUGCUAAAUAUAGUUUGACCAUCUGCCUAUGAUAGGCAUGGUCACAUUUCUCUUAAUUAUGCAGUGAUCAGCUUUAAUGCUUUAUUCAUUUAGGAUAGCACCCCUAGCAUAGGAGCUGGAAUUCACUAAUAUGAAGAGUUGAAUGGUCUUGGACAAUAGAAGGAUCCCCAACCCUUAUCUUUAAGGAGGCAGGGUUAAAAAGUUAGGAGAGAUUUACCAGGGCUCAUAACAGUGAGCGGAUACAUGAGGAAAAGAUUGAAAGGAAAGCACGGGAUUCUACUUGGCUCCUUGUUGCAUGUAAAUACUGGGAUUUCUGAAUUUGAAUCCAUAUGCAAAAUGAAUUUGAGAACACUUACCUUGUUUUGUGCCACACUUUCUGCUAUGUUGCACAUUAUUUUGGGAUUGAUUGGUUGAGGCUGUCUUGUUCCUGAUUCUGUCCACAAUCACACUUAGUUAUAGUUAAGUGCUUAAAUAAUUAGAAGAAUGAGUUUUGUUUUUUGGGGGGUGGAGCUAGAUUUUGUUUUUGUCAUACCUGAAACUAGUGUCCCACUUAAAACCUUUUUUAAAAAUUAUUCAAGUAUAGCUGAUGUGCAAGUGCUAGGCAAGUUUCAGCUGUACAACACUGAUCCCACAAUUCUACACAUUUAGCAAUGCUCACCAUAAGUGGAGUUACCAUAUCAACAUAUAUCAUUGUAGUAUUACUGACUGUAUUCUCUAUACUGUGCUUUUUACCUCUAUGACUUAUUUUAUAACUGGAAGUUUGUACCUCUUAAUCUUGUUCACCUAUUUCACAAUCCCCUCCCUCACCUGCUCCCCGUGGCAACCAUCAGUUCUAUAUAUUUAUGAAUUUGGCUUUGUCCAUUUUGUUUUUUUAGUGUAUUUUUUUUUAAAGAUUUUAUUUACUCAUGAGACACACACAGAGAUAGAGAGAAGCAGAGGGAGAAACAGGCUCCAUUUCCAUGCGGGGAGCCCAACGUGGGACUCGAUCCCCGGUCUCCAGGAUCACACCCCUGGCUGCAGGUGGCGCUAAACCGCUGAGCCACACGGGCUGCCCUGAUUUUUAGUUUAAAUGUGUCGGUGAAAUCAUAUGGCAUAUGCCUUUUUCUUUCUUACUUCACUGACUGUAAUACCCUCUAGAUCGAUCCAUCCAUGUCAUUAUAAAUGGCAAGAUCUCAUUCUUUAUGGGUGAGCAAUAUUCCAUUGGAUAUACACACACACACACACACACCAUAUCCUUACCCAUUCAUUUAUCAGUGGACUCUUAGGUUGUAUACAUAUUUUGGCUCAAAAAUACCCUUAAUCCUUCAAUCAACAUAGGGGUGCAUAUGUUUUUUCAAAUUAAUGUGUUUGUUUUUAU